rnacentral:ncRNA from 1 species
UUGAGCCGUAUGUUCCGAAAGGGACACGUACGGUUCUUAGGGGGGAAAGGAAUGGUAACAUUCGUGACCUACCCGAC